rnacentral:lncRNA from 1 species
AUUCCAGAUAGGAAAAAUGUUGUGAAUUUUUCCCAAAAGGCUCCAACAUCCACCAGGUAAUGAAUGGACUCUAGAGAGACUACUUUCCAGGUUCUCUACAGUCAAACACUAACUGGGACAUCCUCUUCUCCCUCCUAGGUGUCGCCUUCCUUCAUCUGACCCUCACAAGGCAUUUAUAUGUUACAUAUGCAAAUGCAUGGCACACCAGAUUGAGUUAAUGACCUAUCAUCAAACAAAUUCCACACACACUUCAACGGUUUCCAGUUUCUCAUACAAAAGGCACUGAGGAGCUUCCAGAGAG